UCUUCACAAUAAACCUUGCUAUGGCUCACUCUUUGGGUCAGUGCCAUCUUUAAGAGCUGUAACACUUGCAUGGAAGGUUCGCAGCUUCAUUCUUGAAGUCAGCGAGACCACAAACCCACCAGUGGGAACCAACUCCGGACAUAAAGGGGCUCAAAAUCCCAUUGAAGAGAGGCAUAAUGAAAACACAUUUUUAAGGAUGACUGCAUAACUAUAGGUGGUGGCUUAAAAGAGGAGUCUAAUGUUGUUAACCAGUGUCUUAAUUUCUACCAUUUUCAAAGAGAAUUUACUAUGGACAGAAUAUGAUGCUGCGUGUUAUGAAGGAUCAGCAAUGGAUAAGGCUUACACACUGUUCUGUUGCAUAACUUUCAAGGAUGCUGGAAUACCACCACCAAGGAAAAAAUGUGGUCAAAUAAAGUUAUGCCUUAAGUGCCAACAGAAAGACUGGUUUGGCCAGUGCUGACGUUUUCACGCAUGCCCGCAUGCACACGUGAGGAUGUAGGAACACAUGCGGAUGCCCAAGGACUGAAGCCAAAUCGCAAAAUUGCUAACCAAGUCCACGGGGAAGAGACAGACUCACAAUGCACACUGCUGGACUCCCCAAGUGGGUGACAGCAACACUUCAGAACUCAGUGGGCAGAGCAGAUCAUAUGAUUGCUCCCGGAUGGGCUGUGAUUUCUCAAUUCCAGUGAGAAAGGGGAGAGAAGUCUGAACCUUCAACAUACUUCCCCCCAUCCCACCACCAAUACUACAAAGCAUAGAAAACAGAAAACAGGAGCAUCAUAGAAAGACAGUCAUCCAAUUUUACAUGCGUGCCUCUGGCAAGUCACUUGACUUUACGUAUCUUAGCUGUGGGAAUCUAUAAAAUAAAAAUGAUAUUACCUACCCCUGAGGUCACUAAGAGGUUCACAUAAGAUCCCCCCCAAAGGAAAACAUCUGGAAAACUGCAAAAUCCCACCGGAAUGGUGAGCAUUACUAUCGGGGGUAUCCCUACUCACAGAGCUGUGGCCCCCUAGGACCCAAAUGGUGAUGGUGCAACGGGGUUCAUUUGAAACACUAUCUGGUGUGGACACACUGUGUGCUAGGCACUGCUUCUAUUGACUAAGCCAAACUCAUUAAGUCAGUGUAAAAUCACCAGUUCAGAUGGCUAAUGGGAAUUUCAACUGGGGCAAACAUAAAUUCACGAAGGGAAAAUGACUAUCUGGAGGAGGCACAAAAGAGUUUUCCUUUUCCAGUGGUUCAUUGAGAGAGGUGAUGAUAAUCCAUUGGCAGGAAAGAGAAUGGCUGCUUCUAAAUAAACUUAAACAAUGAUCAGUCUUUCUAAAUGCACCAAACUUGCAAUUAAUAUUUGUUGAAUCAAUGAAUGGGAUUCCACAAAACUGGAUUUAAAUCCUGGUUCUGCACCACUACCAUCUGUGUGAUUUUGGGAAAGC